AAAAAAAAAAAAAAGGAGCAGCUAGCCAAAAAAAAGUUUGACUUUACCGCGCUGCGGUGCACGCAAAACCUCUCCCUCCGAACUGCGAAACUCUCGGACCUCCCUUCGACUUGUUAUUCGAAGUAUUCCCCUUGAUCGUCACGUGGCGACGGCGGUGGUGCUCAUACAGGCCCCUCCCACACACACACAGCCCGUUCACAGUGUACAUGUUUCCCUUCCCAAUCAAGCUGUGUCCCCCGCGUGCCGCCUCGGCUUCCUUUCCUGACACCCAGGCGGGGGGAACUGGAAGCGGUUCAGACUAGAACCUCGUCUGUAGUUUUCUGCACUGCCUAGCGUGUGCCUUAUUUGAAACGUUGUGGGUGAAUCCGUACGUUGGCCUGGUUUCAGGGAUUUAUUUAGGGUUCGUCACCAGUCUGGGGGGGACCCGCUUUUCAACCCUUUGCCCCCCACUUUGUGUUGAGGUCUGUGUGUUUAUAAAUACACACUCUCUCAGGCUCACAAAUUUAGUCACUUGUGACCAGACUUGGGACAUGACCAAAGGAGUUAUUAUUUGCCCAAAAAUAUCAAAAAAUUAAACACAAACAAAAAAUAUCUCAAAAUGGACAGAAAACAGCAGAAAGAGCGACGACAUCAUCUGUGACUCAUAUGAAGCGUAUACAUCGUGCAUAUGCCUCGCGGUCCAGUCAUGUAAAGCAGGCGCACCUCAACUUAAACUUGAGUUUUGAUGUAUAUAAAUAUAAGCGUAUGUUCAGUUCAAUAGACCCAUGCAGCGGUUAAUUAGGGAAGUUAACCAACAAUGCCAACGUCUUAUUGGCUAGUUCACAGCAGGAUUCUCUGUGCCAUGAUGUGCCCCCCCCCCCUUUCCUCAACCACCUCUUCUUCAUAGGUGCUAGGCUGUGAAUACAGUGGUGCUCGUUCCCCUUCGACACAGAAACACUCGAGAUCCGAUGUCAGACGGGCCGCACAGAAAUGCAUUCUUCACCCGUAUUGUUUUGUCAUCCUGCUUCUAAAGAGACGCAUACGAAAUGGCUCCGGAAUCGAUGUUGAAAUUGUUUUUCUUCUCCCGAGUCGUCGGCGUGUGAUAAUGAUCAAGGACAUUCUAGGCAGUGCCAGUCGCUAAGAAAUGAAAUUCAUUUUCGUUGUGGUUUUGCCGGUUUCCCAUUUGAUUUUUGUUUUUUCUCUUCCCGCGUACAUCAGUUAAAAAAAUAAAUAAACGCCCGAGGGAUUUCGUCUCCGGAGGGGCAACACAAUAUUUGUCAUCUUGUCUGCAGUCAAGUCAAACACAUUAACUGAAGUUAUGAAAUAACAAUCCUGGCAUUGCCAUGUUUGUUUUGUUUGUUCGAACGAGAACCCGUUCAGCAGACGUGGGCUUCAACCACAAACGCGGCCGGUGUGAGACAACCCCGCCGUCUACCGCUAUCUCUCCAUCACCCCCACUCACCACGGCCUUCUCCUCCGCUUCCACCGCGCGGUCCGAUAAGAAAGCGCAAACAGACUGGCAUCCACGGCCUGGCACUCGGGACUACUGCAGAGAGAAACCAGAGCUACCUCAGCCUAAUUUAUUUUGAACACAACAACCACAUCAACACAUGUUCGUCUGUUUACAAUUGAGCCCGGAGGAAUCGUUGCUUAUGUUAAGGAAACUUCUUCAACUGUAUGAUUUUAAACUUUCGAGUUGACAAAGCAAAUCUUUUUUUUUUUUCAGUCGUAGGCUUAUUGCCUUGUAUUAUCUCGAUGGAAUUUGUUUUUCUUCAAAUUAUAAGUUUUGCAGGUUCUCAUCUCACUUGGAUCUAUUAUUUGUUUCCUUUUAUUUAUUAAUGAUAUUAAACAUGUUUUUUCACUUCAUUUUCAGUAUAACGUCUUUUUUUUGUACAUUUGAUGUGUAACGAAUGAAAGUUGUGUAGCGUUUGUGUAGCAGGUUUUUUGGGGCUGCAUGUGAGGGGAAUUUAGGGUUUACAGUUCUCUCAGGUUCAACACAUGCAACACUUGCUCUUUAAAGUUUCUAUUUAUUUUCAAUGUGAUUUGGGGUUAGGUGGUCAACAUACUGGUAAAAACUUAAUCGCAGAACAGAAUUUCACAAGAAAUAUGGCAUUUCAGUCUGUCUACAGACCACAAGAUGGGUGUAUUCAAACUGGUACUUUCGUCUCCUAUGUUUCGUUACUUUUGUGUCCUUUUGCCAAGAGGGUAAUACAUUUGAUUAAAAAUGCAUUUCAGAGUAAAAUAAAUUGAUAGUGAAAUGUCACACAUUUAAUGUUGAUACAUUUAAGGACUAACAACCAAUUUUUGUCUGGUAGUUGAGACUACUUAAUCCAAUAAUGGCGUUCAUUUUUUUCUUACAUGUUUUCCACACCUUUUUGACACGUUUUGUCAAUAGCUUUUGUAGCAUUUUAAGAUUUGUUUUGGAAAAUAAACACAAACCCAUUCUUAUGUAUGUGUUACAUUUAGUGUAAAUUAAAAUUUAAAAUGUAACACUUACUGUACUUCUGAAUAAACUGCUGUGAUAUACUUAAAUAAAG
ensembl:lncRNA